rnacentral:SRP_RNA from 2 species
GCUGGGUGUGGUGGCGCAUGCCUGUAAUCCCAGCUACUCAGGAGGCUGAGGCAGGAGAAUUGCUUGAAUCCGGGAGGCGGAGGUUGCAGUGAGCUGAGAUCAUGCCGCUGCACUCCAGCCUGGGCGACAUAGCAAGACUCUGUCUCAA